AAUAGAGGCGCGGCGCUCAUCAGUACCCCGCGGGAGCUGGCAAACAGCGACGAACGCGGGCGAAAGGGAAAGCCGCCGAAACGUUUCCUGUUGCGGGGAGGCGUUGGGCGAAGGGAAAAUAUCUCUUCGACUGUCACGGCAACAUGCUGCCGUGGGGCGCUAUUCGA
rnacentral:ncRNA from 1 species